GAUGAAGAACGCAGUGAAAUGCGAUAAGUAGUGUGAAUUGCAGAAUUCAGUGAAUCAUCGAAUCUUUGAACGCACAUUGCGCCCCUUGGUAUUCCAUGGGGCAUGCCUGUUCGAGCGUCAUUUGUACCUUCAAGCUCUGCUUGGUGUUGGGUGUUUGUCUCGCCUCUGCGUGUAGACUCGCCUCAAAACAAUUGGCAGCCGGCGUAUUGAUUUCGGAGCGCAGUACAUCUCGCGCUUUGCACUCAUAACGACAGCGUCCAAAAGUACAUUUUACACUCUUGACCUCGGAUCAGGUAGGGAUACCCGCUGAACUUAAGCAUAUCAAUAAGCGGAGGA
rnacentral:misc_RNA from 1 species